CCUACGGGAGGCAGCAGUGGGGAAUAUUGCGCAAUGGGGGAAACCCUGACGCAGCGACGCCGCGUGUGGGAUGAAGGUCUUCGGAUUGUAAACCACUGUCGGGAGGGACGAAGCUCUGACGGUACCUCCAAAGGAAGCACCGGCUAACUCUGUGCCAGCAGCCGCGGUAAUACAGAGGGUGCGAGCGUUGUCCGGAAUCACUGGGCGUAAAGGGCGCGUAGGCGGCCGGGUAAGUAGGGGGUGAAAUCUCACGGCUCAACCGUGAGGCUGCCUUCUAGACUGCCUGGCUCGAGCACAGUAGAGGCGAGUGGAAUUCCCGGUGUAGCGGUGGAAUGCGUAGAGAUCGGGAAGAACAUCGGUGGCGAAGGCGGCUCGCUGGGCUGUUGCUGACGCUGAGGCGCGAAAGCGUGGGGAGCAAACAGGAUUAGAUACCCUGGUAGUCCACGCUGUAAACGAUGGGUGCUAGGCGUCGGGGGGAGCGACCCUUCGGUGCCGUCGCUAACGCAAUAAGCACCCGCCUGGGGAGUACGGUCGCAAGACUGAAACUCAAAGAGUAGUGGCGUGAGAGACGCGACGACGACGACGACGGAGGGAGG
rnacentral:rRNA from 1 species